GGCCUGUUUUCCAAAAACAUCGCCUCUUGACUCACAUAAGAGGUCCAGCCUGCCCAGUGACUCUGUUCAACGGCCGCGGUAUCCUAACCGUGCGAAGGUAGCGUAAUCACUUGUUCUUUAAUUGGGGACUAGUAUGAACGGCACCACGAGGGCUACACUGUCUCCUUUCUCUAAUCAGUGAAACUAAUCUCCCCGUGAAGAAGCGGGGAUAAAAAUAUAAGACGAGAAGACCCUAUGGAGCUUUAAACAUUAUGGCAUCACCUCACAACAUACAUUUUCCUGAACCAUUUACUCUCAAGGUGAUGUGACCAUGAGUUUUUGGUUGGGGUGACCGCGGAGUAUAGUAUAGCCUCCACGCUGAAAGACACAGCUCUAAGCCAAGACCUACACUUCUAAGCAUCAGCACACUGACAUAAAUUGACCCAAUAUAUUUGAUCAACGAACUAAGUUACCCUAGGGAUAACAGCGCAAUCCACUUCAAGAGCCCCUAUCGACAAGUGGGUUUACGACCUCGAUGUUGGAUCAGGGUAUCCCAAUGGUGCAGCCGCUAUUAAAGGUUCGUUUGUUCAACGAUUAAAACCCUACAUGAUCUGAUUUCAAACCCAGA
rnacentral:rRNA from 1 species